GAUGAACGCUGGCGGCGUGCCUAAUACAUGCAAGUCGAGCGAAUGGAUUGAGAGCUUGCUCUUAUGAAGUUAGCGGCGGACGGGUGAGUAACACGUGGGUAACCUGCCCAUAAGACUGGGAUAACUCCGGGAAACCGGGGCUAAUACCGGAUAACAUUUUGAACCGCAUGGUUCGAAAUUGAAAGGAGGCUUCGGCUGCCCAUUAUGGAUGGACCCGCGUCGCAUUAACUAGUUGGUGGGGUAACGGCUCACCAAGGCAACGAGGCGUAGCCGACCUGAGAGGGUGAUCGGCCACACUGGGACUGAGACACGGCCCAGACUCCUACGGGAGGCAGCAGUAGGGAAUCUUCCGCAAUGGACGAAAGUCUGACGGAGCAACGCCGCGUGAGUGAUGAAGGCUUUCGGGUCGUAAAACUCUGUUGUUAGGGAAGAACAAGUGCUAGUUGAAUAAGCUGGCACCUUGACGGUACCUAACCAGAAAGCCACGGCCAACUACGUGCCAGCAGCCGCAGUAA
rnacentral:rRNA from 1 species